UAAGGCUAAAUACUCUCUAGUGACCGAUAGUGAACCAGUACCGUGAGGGAAAGGUGAAAAGUACCCCGGAAGGGGAGUGAAAGAGAACUUGAAACCGUGUGCUUACAAGUAGUCAGAGCCCGUUAAUGGGUGAUGGCGUGCCUUUUGUAGAAUGAACCGGCGAGUUACGAUCUGAUGCAAGGUUAAGCAGAAAAUGUGGAGCCGUAGCGAAAGCGAGUCUGAAUAGGGCGAAUGAGUAUUUGGUCGUAGACCCGAAACCAGGUGAUCUACCCUUGGUCAGGUUGAAGUUCAGGUAACACUGAAUGGAGGACCGAACCGACUUACGUUGAAAAGUGAGCGGAUGAACUGAGGGUAGCGGAGAAAUUCCAAUCGAACUUGGAGAUAGCUGGUUCUCUCCGAAAUAGCUUUAGGGCUAGCCUCAAGUGAUGAUUAUUGGAGGUAGAGCACUGUUUGGACGAGGGGCCCCUCUCGGGUUACCGAAUUCAGACAAACUCCGAAUGCCAAAUAAUUUAACUUGGGAGUCAGAAUGUGGGUGAUAAGGUCCAUAUUCGAAAGGGAAACAGCCCAGACCACCAGCUAAGGUCCCAAAAUAUAUGUUAAGUGGAAAAGGAUGUGGCGUUGCCCAGACAACUAGGAUGUUGGCUUAGAAGCAGCCAUCAUUUAAAGAGUGCGUAAUAGCUCACUAGUCGAGUGACACUGCGCCGAAAAUGUACCGGGGCUAAACAUAUUACCGAAGCUGUGGAUUGUCCUUUGGACAAUGGUAGGAGAGCGUUCUAAGGGCGUUGAAGCAUGAUCGCAAGGACAUGUGGAGCGCUUAGAAGUGAGAAUGCCGGUGUGAGUAGCGAAAGACGGGUGAGAAUCCCGUCCACCGAUUGACUAAGGUUUCCAGAGGAAGGCUCGUCCGCUCUGGGUUAGUCGGGUCCUAAGCUGAGGCCGACAGGCGUAGGCGAUGGAUAACAGGUUGAUAUUCCUGUACCACCAUUAUUCGUUUUAAGCGAUGGGGGGACGCAGUAGGAUAGGCGAAGCGUGCUGUUGGAGUGCACGUCCAAGCAGUGAGAUUGAGUGUUAGGCAAAUCCGGCACUCUUAAGAUUGAGCUGUGAUGGGGAGAGGAACUUGUUCCUCGAGUCGUUGAUUUCACACUGCCGAGAAAAGCCUCUAGCUAGAAUAACGGUGCCCGUACCGCAAACCGACACAGGUAGUCAAGAUGAGAAUUCUAAGGUGAGCGAGCGAACUCUCGUUAAGGAACUCGGCAAAAUGACCCCGUAACUUCGGGAGAAGGGGUGCUCUUUGAGGUUCACGCUUCGAAGAGCCGCAGUGAAUAGGCCCAAGCGACUGUUUAUCAAAAACACAGGUCUCUGCUAAACCGUAAGGUGACGUAUAGGGGCUGACGCCUGCCCGGUGCUGGAAGGUUAAGAGGAGUGGUUAGCGCAAGCGAAGCUACGAAUCGAAGCCCCAGUAAACGGCGGCCGUAACUAUAACGGUCCUAAGGUAGCGAAAUUCCUUGUCGGGUAAGUUCCGACCCGCACGAAAGGCGUAACGAUUUGGGCACUGUCUCAACGAGAGACUCGGUGAAAUCAUAGUACCGGUGAAGAUGCCGGUUACCCGCGACAGGACGGAAAGACCCCGUGGAGCUUUACUGUAGCCUGAUAUUGAAAUUCGGUACAGUUUGUACAGGAUAGGUAGGAGCCUUAGAAGCGUGAGCGCUAGCUUACGUGGAGGCAUUGGUGGGAUACUACCCUAAUUGUAUUGGAUUUCUAACCCGCAGCACUUAUCGUGCUGGGAGACAGUGUCAGGCGGGCAGUUUGACUGGGGCGGUCGCCUCCUAAAGAGUAACGGAGGCGCUCAAAGGUUCCCUCAGAAUGGUUGGAAAUCAUUCAUAGAGUGUAAAGGCAUAAGGGAGCUUGACUGCGAGACCUACAAGUCGAGCAGGGUCGAAAGACGGACUUAGUGAUCCGGUGGUUCCGCAUGGAAGGGCCAUCGCUCAACGGAUAAAAGCUACCCCGGGGAUAACAGGCUUAUCUCCCCCAAGAGUUCACAUCGACGGGGAGGUUUGGCACCUCGAUGUCGGCUCAUCGCAUCCUGGGGCUGUAGUCGGUCCCAAGGGUU
rnacentral:rRNA from 1 species